rnacentral:lncRNA from 1 species
CCACAACCCUGGUGUUGCAAACACCAUGCUCUACCAACUGAGCUACGGGGAAAGCCAGGUACAUAAAACAUUAGGGCCUACACCUCAUGGACUGCUAUGUGUUCCACAAUAAUUCACCACAUUGUUUCUUUCAAGACAAUGACCCAAAACACUCUGCCGCCCAGGUUUGCAUUGCAAAUGAGGGCAUAAACUGGGUCAAGACGCCAGCAGAUGCAUGGAUUCAACAAGCUUUGGACGAAGGACUUCCAUAGGGACUUCCACAGGGCCGUCAUCUCCAGAAACAAAUAACUUCUGAAACUCAUCAGUCUAUUCUUGUUCUGAGAAAUGAAGGCUAUUCCAUGCGAGAAAUUGCCAAGAAACUGAAGUACAUUAGAGUGUCUAGUUUGAGAAACAGACGUCUCACAAGUCCUCAACUGGCAGUUUCAUUAAAUAGUACCCGCAAAACACCAGUCUCAAUACCAACAGUGAAGAGGUGACUCCGGGAUGCUGGCCUUCUAGGCAGAGUUCCUCUGUCCAGUGUCUGUGUUCUUUUGCCCAUCUUAAUCUUUUAUUUUUAUUGGCCUGUCUGAGAUAUGGCUUUUCUUUGCAACUCUGCCUAGAAG